AUACGGAGGGUGCAAGCGUUAUCCGGAUUUAUUGGGUUUAAAGGGUCCGUAGGCGGAUCAGUAAGUCAGUGGUGAAAUCUCAUAGCUUAACUAUGAAACUGCCAUUGAUACUGCUGGUCUUGAGUAAAUUUGAAGUGGCUGGAAUAAGUAGUGUAGCGGUGAAAUGCAUAGAUAUUACUUAGAACACCAAUUGCGAAGGCAGGUCACUAAGAUUUAACUGACGCUGAUGGACGAAAGCGUGGGGAGC
rnacentral:rRNA from 1 species